rnacentral:miRNA from 1 species
CGCCGCGGCGGCGGCGGC